AUGGCACACACGAAUACACACCACACACGGCCAUGCAUCUGGACAGCCGCAGUAGUAAGCGGCCGCAGCAGAGCAGCUGGGAGCGGCCAUGAGCGGCUAGACAAACAGCAGGAGAGCAAGAGCAGCAAGCAGUGGCAUGAGCAGAUGAGCAGCAGUAGUAAGGAACGACAACAGCAACAGGCGGAUGCAGCAGCAGCAGUCAGGAGCGGGGCGGCCGGCCGGAGCAGGCCCGGCCUGGCGCGGUUGGCUGCGGCAACCCUAACGAGCGCGAGGAGCGGCGGGCGUAUGCCGGCGGCUGCGAGACUGUGUGGGCGGGCACCGGAUAUGGGUAAGCGGGGCGAGGCAGAGCAUGGCCGCGAGCGAGGGGAGCGACGGACUCGGGCGGACGAGCGCGCGUUGCGGAGCAGCAACGGCGCAGUAGACAGGAGCAGGGGAGGAGCGGCCCCAGGCGCUGCCGGAGCAAGAUGA
rnacentral:rRNA from 1 species